rnacentral:rRNA from 1 species
UACGGAGGGGGCUAGCGUUGUUCGGAAUUACUGGGCGUAAAGCGCACGUAGGCGGCUUUGUAAGUCAGAGGUGAAAGCCCGGGGCUCAACCCCGGAUGUGCCUUUGAGACUGCAUCGCUUGAACGUCGGAGAGGUGAGUGGAAUUCCGAGUGUAGAGGUGAAAUUCGUAGAUAUUCGGAAGAACACCAGUGGCGAAGGCGGCUCACUGGACGACUGUUGACGCUGAGGUGGCGAAAGCGUGGGGAGCAACAGGG